rnacentral:rRNA from 1 species
GACGAACCGUACGAACGUUAUUCGGAAUCACUGGGCUUAAAGGGUGCGUAGGCGGCGCGGUAAGUUGGGUGUGAAAUCCCUCGGCUCAACCGAGGAACUGCGUCCAAAACUGCCGUGCUCGAGGGAGACAGAGGUGAGCGGAACUUAGGGUGGAGCGGUGAAAUGCGUUGAUAUCCUAAGGAACACCGGUGGCGAAAGCGGCUCACUGGGUCUCUUCUGACGCUGAGGCACGAAAGCUAGGGUAGCGAACGGG